rnacentral:rRNA from 1 species
UACGUAGGUGGCAAGCGUUGUCCGGAUUUACUGGGCGUAAAGAGCGCGCAGGCGGUCGUUCAAGUCGCGUGUGAAAGCCCCCGGCUCAACUGGGGAGGGUCACGCGAUACUGAUCGACUCGAAGGCAGGAGAGGGAAGUGGAAUUCCCGGUGUAGUGGUGAAAUGCGUAGAUAUCGGGAGGAACACCAGUGGCGAAGGCGGCACUCUGGGCCGGAACUGACGCUGAGGAGCGAAAGCGUGGGGAGCAACAGG